rnacentral:rRNA from 1 species
GACGAACGCUGGCGGCGUGCCUAACACAUGCAAGUCGAGCGAAAAGACCAGGCUUUUGUUCGUCUGUCGUUAGCGGCGGAGGGGAGAGAAACACGUGGAUCCUCUACCUAUCUGACUGGGAUAAUCACGGGACACGGGCGCUUAUAGCGGAGAAUCUCUUGAACCGCGGGGUUCGAUGGUGAGAGUCGGUUGUUGUGUAUGUAAUAGCUGCAUACGGGCCGCAUUGGCUGGUUGGUAGGGUAACGGGUUAUCACGGCGACGAUGCGUAGCCGAACGGAGGGGGUGAUCGGCCACACUGGAACUGAGACAGGGUCCAGACUCCUACGGGAGGCAGCAGUAGGGAAUGUGACGCAAUGGGCGAAAGCUUUACGGAGCAACGCCGCGCGAGUGAUGAAGGUCUUCGGAUCGUAAAACUCUGUUAUUGGGGAAGAACAGAUGUGGAAUUAAAUAUGCCCGUCUUGACGGUACCUGAUCAGAAAGCCACGGCUAACUACGUG